rnacentral:rRNA from 1 species
GACAGAGGUGCCGAGCGUUAGGCGGAAUCACUGGGCUUAAAGCGUGUGUAGGCGGAUUUGUAAGUACCUUGUGAAAUCCCACGGCUCAACCGCGGAACUGCUUGGUAUACUGGGUCGCUUGAGUCAUCCAGGGGCAACUGGAACAAGCGGUGGAGCGGUGAAAUGCGUAGAUAUCGCUUGGAACGCCAAAGGUGAAAACAGGUUGCUGGGGAUGUUCUGACACUGAGACGCGAAAGCCAGGGGAGCGAACGGG